rnacentral:rRNA from 1 species
GUUUGAUCCUGGCCCCGAAUGAACGCUAGAGUUCUAUUUUACACAUGCGAGUCGAACGAGAGGUUUUUACCUUUAGUGGCACACGGGUGAGCACUUCCGGCUAUAUCUGAUGAGGAAGUUUGGUAUAUACCGACCGAGAGGACGAGGAAAUGCUAAAAUAUAAGAAGAUUAACUCGCUUCCUUUUAGGUAGCCGGCGGAUUAGCGGUUGUAGGUGAGGUAACGGCUACCUAGCCUAUGA